CCUAUAAGACUGGGAUAACUUCGGGAAACCGGAGCUAAUACCGGAUAACAUUUAGAACCGCAUGGUUCUAAAGUGAAAGAUGGUUUUGCUAUCACUUAUAGAUGGACCCGCGCCGUAUUAGCUAGUUGGUAAGGUAACGGCUUACCAGGGCGACGAUACGUAGCCGACCUGAGAGGGUGAUCGGCCACACUGGAACUGAGACACGGUCCAGACUCCUACGGGAGGCGGCAGUAGGGAAUCUUCCGCAAUGGGCGAAAGCCUGACGGAGCAACGCCGCGUGAGUGAUGAAGGGUUUCGGCUCGUAAAACUCUGUUAUUAGGGAAGAAUAAAUGUGUAAGUAACUGUGCGCAUCUUGACGGUACCUAAUCAGAAAGCCACGGCUAACUACGUGCCAGCAGCCGCGGUAAUACGUAGGUGGCAAGCGUUAUCCGGAAUUAUUGGGCGUAAAGCGCGCGUAGGCGGUUUCUUAAGUCUGAUGUGAAAGCCCACGGCUCAACCGUGGAGGGUCAUUGGAAACUGGGAAACUUGAGUGCAGAAGAGGAAAGUGGAAUUCCAUGUGUAGCGGUGAAAUGCGCAGAGAUAUGGAGGAACACCAGUGGCGAAGGCGACUUUCUGGUCUGUAACUGACGCUGAUGUGCGAAAGCGUGGGGAUCAAACAGGAUUAGAUACCCUGGUAGUCCACGCCGUAAACGAUGAGUGCUAAGUGUUAGGGGGUUUCCGCCCCUUAGUGCUGCAGCUAACGCAUUAAGCACUCCGCCUGGGGAGUACGACCGCAAGGUUGAAACUCAAA
rnacentral:rRNA from 1 species